rnacentral:rRNA from 1 species
UACGGGGGGGGCAAGCGUUGUUCGGAAUUACUGGGCGUAAAGGGCUCGUAGGCGGCCAACUAAGUCCGACGUGAAAUCCCAAGGCUUAACCUUGGAACUGCGUCGGAUACUGGAUGGCUUGAAUUCGGGAGAGGGAUGCAGAAUUCCAGGUGUAGCGGUGAAAUGCGUAGAUAUCUGGAGGAAUACCGGUGGCGAAGGCGGCAUCCUGGACCGACAUUGACGCUGAGGAGCGAAAGCUAGGGGAGCAAACGGG